UGUCCUCUAAUAAAGGAACUUUGCGUCAAACCUCAAAGCGAGGACUGGUCUAAGAUUGAACACAUACCGUCAAUCUUCAUUGAUCAUGAAGAGAUGUCUUCAACUUAGGAAGCCAAAUAUGAAUCCAGAUCACUGCAACGCUAAAUUGAUUCAUCAUCUUCAACAGGCCUUUAGCAGUGGGGCGUCAAGAUGUUUAUUGUAUCAGCAAAUUCUAAUAAAUCUGUCAACAUAUGCAGUUGUAUUCACUGAUCCAUGAAAGAAUCAAAGCAUUCCUGUAUUAAUUCUGGUUUUUCUGCUUUUUUGGAGAACAGUCAAUUAAAAGAUGUUUGAAAAAGUUUGUGACUUUUGUAUUAGCAGCUAGUUGUUUUAUACCUCUGUAAUAUAGAUGUAAAUAUACAAACUUACGUAAUUUAAUGAUCUGUGAAAAGUGUAUAUUAAAGUUUGGGCAUCA